rnacentral:rRNA from 1 species
GAUGAACGCUGGCGGCGUGCCUAAUACAUGCAAGUCGAGCGAACAGACGAGGAGCUUGCUCCUCUGACGUUAGCGGCGGACGGGUGAGUAACACGUGGAUAACCUACCUAUAAGACUGGGAUAACUUCGGGAAGCCGGAGCUAAUACCGGAUAACAUGUUGAACCGCAUGGUUCAACAGUGAAAGACGGUCUUGCUGUCACUUAUAGAUGGAUCCGCGCCGCAUUAGCUAGUUGGUAAGGUAACGGCUUACCAAGGCAACGAUGCGUAGCCGACCUGAGAGGGUGAUCGGCCACACUGGAACUGAGACACGGUCCAGACUCCUACGGGAGGCAGCAGUAGGGAAUCUUCCGCAAUGGGCGAAAGCCUGACGGAGCAACGCCGCGUGAGUGAAGAAGGUCUUCGGAUCGUAAAACUCUGUUAUUAGGGAAGAACAAAUGUGUAAGUAACUAUGCACGUCUUGACGGUACCUAAUCAGAAAGCCACGGCUAACUACGUG